UAGGUUGGUGCAAAAGUAAUCACGGU
rnacentral:piRNA from 1 species